CUCCUGGUAUUGAUUGGUGCUUGCAUCAUGAUUUACAUUUGAGUGAGUGGCGAACUGGUGAGUAACACGUGGGAAACCUGCCCAGAAGCGGGGGAUAACACCUGGAAACAGAUGCUAAUACCGCAUAACAACUUGGACCGCAUGGUCCGAGUUUGAAAGAUGGCUUCGGCUAUCACUUUUGGAUGGUCCCGCGGCGUAUUAGCUAGAUGGUGGGGUAACGGCUCACCAUGGCAAUGAUACGUAGCCGACCUGAGAGGGUAAUCGGCCACAUUGGGACUGAGACACGGCCCAAACUCCUACGGGAGGCAGCAGUAGGGAAUCUUCCACAAUGGACGAAAGUCUGAUGGAGCAACGCCGCGUGAGUGAAGAAGGGUUUCGGCUCGUAAAACUCUGUUGUUAAAGAAGAACAUAUCUGAGAGUAACUGUUCAGGUAUUGACGGUAUUUAACCAGAAAGCCACGGCUAACUACGUGCCAGCAGCCGCGGUAAUACGUAGGUGGCAAGCGUUGUCCGGAUUUAUUGGGCGUAAAGCGAGCGCAGGCGGUUUUUUAAGUCUGAUGUGAAAGCCUUCGGCUCAACCGAAGAAGUGCAUCGGAAACUGGGAAACUUGAGUGCAGAAGAGGACAGUGGAACUCCAUGUGUAGCGGUGAAAUGCGUAGAUAUAUGGAAGAACACCAGUGGCGAAGGCGGCUGUCUGGUCUGUAACUGACGCUGAGGCUCGAAAGUAUGGGUAGCAAACAGGAUUAGAUACCCUGGUAGUCCAUACCGUAAACGAUGAAUGCU
rnacentral:rRNA from 1 species